GUCGAACGAGGCUUAACAUGAAACCUAGUGAUUGUUAAGUUAGUGGCGGACGGGUGAGUAACGCGUGGAUAACCUGCCGUAUGCAGGGGGAUAACAGUUGGAAACAGCUGCUAAUACCGCAUAAGCGCACAGUACCGCAUGGUACGGUGUGAAAAGAUUUAUCGGCAUACGAUGGAUCCGCGUCCGAUUAGCCAGUUGGCGGGGUAACGGCCCACCAAAGCGACGAUCGGUAGCCGGCCUGAGAGGGCGGACGGCCACAUUGGGACUGAGACACGGCCCAAACUCCUACGGGAGGCAGCAGUGGGGAAUAUUGCACAAUGGGGGAAACCCUGAUGCAGCGACGCCGCGUGAGUGAAGAAGUAUCUCGGUAUGUAAAGCUCUAUCAGCAGGGAAGAAAAUGACGGUACCUGACUAAGAAGCCCCGGCUAACUACGUGCCAGCAGCCGCGGUAAUACGUAGGGGGCAAGCGUUAUCCGGAUUUACUGGGUGUAAAGGGAGCGUAGACGGCGCUGCAAGUCCGGAGUGAAAGCCCAUGGCUUAACCAUGGUACUGCUCUGGAAACUGUGGAGCUUGAGUGCGGGAGGGGCAGGCGGAAUUCCUAGUGUAGCGGUGAAAUGCGUAGAUAUUAGGGGGAACACCGGCGGCGAAGGCGGCCUGCUGGACCGUAACUGACGUUGAGGCUCGAAAGCGUGGGGAG
rnacentral:rRNA from 1 species